rnacentral:rRNA from 1 species
UCCUAAGUAUAAGCAAUCUAUACGGUGAAACUGCGAAUGGCUCAUUAAAUCAGUUAUCGUUUAUUUGAUAGUACCUUACUACUUGGAUAACCGUGGUAAUUCUAGAGCUAAUACAUGCUAAAAACCUCGACUUCGGAAGGGGUGUAUUUAUUAGAUAAAAAACCAAUGCCCUUCGGGGCUCCUUGGUGAUUCAUAAUAACUUAACGAAUCGCAUGGCCUUGUGCCGGCGAUGGUUCAUUCAAAUUUCUGCCCUAUCAACUUUCGAUGGUAGGAUAGUGGCCUACCAUGGUUUCAACGGGUAACGGGGAAUUAGGGUUCUAUUCCGGAGAGGGAGCCUGAGAAACGGCUACCACAUCCAAGGAAGGCAGCAGGCGCGCAAAUUACCCAAUCCCGACACGGGGAGGUAGUGACAAUAAAUACUGAUACAGGGCUCUUUUGGGUCUUGUAAUUGGAAUGAGUACAAUUUAAAUCCCUUAACGAGGAACAAUUGGAGGGCAAGUCUGGUGCCAGCAGCCGCGGUAAUUCCAGCUCCAAUAGCGUAUAUUAAAGUUGUUGCAGUUAAAAAGCUCGUAGUUGAACCUUGGGCCUGGUUGGUCGGUCCGCCUCACCGCGUGCACUGAUCCGACCGGGUCUUUCCUUCUGGGGAGCCGCAUGCCCUUCACUGGGUGUGUCGGGGAACCAGGACUUUUACUUUGAAAAAAUUAGAGUGUUCAAAGCAGGCCUAUGCUCGAAUACAUUAGCAUGGAAUAAUAGAAUAGGACGUGUGGUUCUAUUUUGUUGGUUUCUAGGACCGCCGUAAUGAUUAAUAGGGAUAGUCGGGGGCAUCAGUAUUCCGUUGUCAGAGGUGAAAUUCUUGGAUUUACGGAAGACUAACUACUG